rnacentral:snRNA from 1 species
UCCCAAAGGCACGUGUCGU